rnacentral:rRNA from 1 species
UACGUAGGGUGCAAGCGUUAAUCGGAAUUACUGGGCGUAAAGCGUGCGCAGGCGGUUGUGCAAGACAGAUGUGAAAUCCCCGGGCUUAACCUGGGAACUGCAUUUGUGACUGCACAGCUGGAGUGCGGCAGAGGGGGAUGGAAUUCCGCGUGUAGCAGUGAAAUGCGUAGAUAUGCGGAGGAACACCGAUGGCGAAAGCAGCUCUCUGGGCCACUACUGACGCUGAGAAGCGAAAGCAUGGGGAGCGAACAGG